CCUACGGGAGGCAGCAGUGAGGAAUAUUGGUCAAUGGGCUUACGCCUGAACCAGCCAAGUCGCGUGAGGGAAGACUGCCCUAUGGGUUGUAAACCUCUUUUGUCAGGGAGCAACGCCGGCUACGUGUAGCCUGACUGAGAGUACCUGCAGAAAAAGCAUCGGCUAACUCCGUGCCAGCAGCCGCGGUAAUACGAAGGAUGCGAGCGUUAUCCGGAUUUAUUGGGUUUAAAGGGUGCGUAGGCGGAAUGCCAAGUCAGCGGUAAAAUCGCGGGGCUCAACCUCGCUCCGCCGUUGAAACUGGCGUUCUUGAGUGGGCGAGAAGUAUGCGGAAUGCGUGGUGUAGCGGUGAAAUGCAUAGAUAUCACGCAGAACUCCGAUUGCGAAGGCAGCAUACCGGCGCCCAACUGACGCUGAAGCACGAAAGCGUGGGUAGCAAACAGGAUUAGAUACCCUUGUAGUC
rnacentral:rRNA from 1 species